rnacentral:rRNA from 1 species
GCUUAACGCGAAGAACCUUACCUACACUUGACAUGUCCGGACGAUUUCCAGGGAUGGAUUCUUCCCGCAAGGGACUGGAACACAGGUGCUGCAUGGCUGUCGUCAGCUCGUGUCGUGAGAUGUUUGGGUUAGGUCCCGCAACGAGCGCAACCCUCGCCUUUAGUUGCCAUCAUUUAGUUGGGCACUCUAAAGGGACCGCCGGCGACAAGCCGGAGGAAGGUGGGGAUGACGUCAAGUCCUCAUGGCCCUUACGGCCUGGGCUACACACGUGCUACAAUGGCGGUGACAAUGGGCAGCGACCUCGCGAAAGGAUGCGAAUACCCAAAAAGCCCGUCCCAGUUCAGAUUGCACUCUGCAACUCGGGUGCAUGAAGGUGGAAUCGCUAGUAAUCGCAGAACAGCAGGCUGCGGUGAAUACGUUCCCGGGUCUUGUACACACCGGGUCUUGUACACACCG